rnacentral:rRNA from 2 species
GGGUCCAGUCAUGGACGAAGUCUGAUGGAGCAUGCCGCGUGAGUGAAGAAGGGUUUCGGCUCGUAAAACUCUGUUGUUAAAGAAGAACACCUUUGAGAGUAACUGUUCAAGGGUUGACGGUAUUUAACCAGAAAGCCACGGCUAACUACGUGCCAGCAGCCGCGGUAAUACGUAGGUGGCAAGCGUUGUCCGGAUUUAUUGGGCGUAAAGCGAGCGCAGGCGGUUUUUUAAGUCUGAUGUGAAAGCCUUCGGCUUAACCGGAGAAGUGCAUCGGAAACUGGGAGACUUGAGUGCAGAAGAGGACAGUGGAACUCCAUGUGUAGCGGUGGAAUGCGUAGAUAUAUGGAAGAACACCAGUGGCGAAGGCGGCUGUCUAGUCUGUAACUGACGCUGAGGCUCGAAAGCAUGGGUAGCGAACAGGAUUAGAUACCCCGGGUAGUCCAA